GACAGAGGCCAGUUGUGCUGGUCUCAGCACGCCCCGUGUCUUUUAUGACACCUGAACAACGUGAGGAGACGUUCCUGGCUCAGCUGGAACCGGACGACAGCUUUGGCCCAAUCACAGGAGAGAGGACGAUUUCAUGGGGAAAAGAAGUGAACGAGACAAAGACAGUAAGUCAGGAGAGAUUCUGAGUGUCGGGGCCAAGUUCUUGCUUUAAAUUCAGAGUGCCUGAAGAAAGUCUGGAACCUCACAGGUGGCUGGAUCCUUAAUGGAACCCAAGGGAAACUCCAAACCCAGGCCGUUUCCAGUGCAGCCUGUGUCCUCCCUCUGCUUUUAGGGUGGCCCAUCACUGCCCCCGCUUGUGGCUUUCUCCAAGCUUGGAGCCAGCACUAGUCUCUGUGCCUUUAGACCCCAGGUCGAGCUCUCCAAACUGCAAUCCUGAAGCCUCCCACAGGUAGAAGAAGAGAGGCCAGGUCAUCUGGUGAACGUUGGCCUGUAACACAGCGCAUGGAAGGCUGUUUGGUGCCCAUUCAUCCCCAAGACAUCCACACAUGAGAAUUCACCAGUACAAAAACGUUUAAGACUUAUUUGAGAAGGUAUCCAAAUGAUGAGUCCAUUUGCAGGCAUUCCUUCUCCCUUUGAAGAAAUCCACAAAAGAAAGAGCAAAAUGCUGACAAGUUUUCAAAGCCGUGAUUUACAGGAAUGAUUUCUGAAAAGCAAGUGGACAACAUCCGAGUUCAUCAUCAAAUAAUAUUUCUAAAGCACCCUCUAGUGCCUGGCCCCAAGCCAGAUGAUUCAAUGCCUGGAGAGGCUGCAAACUUUUUUUUUUUUUAAAGGAAAAUGGACUCUCAUGUUGGCUCCUGAAAAACAAGUCUGCACCAUUUACGAUUCCUUAGGAUUCUCUCUCUAAAUAAGUAUUAAGAAUGGAUUGCUUCAGAAAAAAAUCAAUGCAGUUAGAAACCCUAAUACUAUUAAAUAUAAUUCAAAUUCCAGUUUAAAAUAGACAUUAAGACUUAAAAGACCAAGUCAAAAAUUACACUGGGAAUCUGAAGAAUUUGAAGUCUAAAUAAAUCACAGAGCAGAAAAAUCUGCUCUGUAAGUGAAAAAGUUUUGAGCCCGAGGAAAGGUAAGAAUUGCAUGAAUAGAUAGGUGUCAUCUAGUAGGAAUGCUAGGCCCAUCUGCCAUCUGAUUAUGCUGUGACUGUACUAGCUUAUAGUCUUCACUCAGCAGAUUCUCAAGUGGUGUAGUGGCAAGAGUGCCGUAUGUAGAAUCAGAAGACUUAUGGUCCAGGGUCAACACUACCACAUACUUGGCUAUGUGAUUUGGAAAAUGUCACUUAAAAUUUAUGACCCUAGCUUCUUCACAUGUAAGAUAAUUCUGCCAACUUCGCGGAAUUGUCUAGACUUUACAGAUUAAAUAAGAUACCACCGACCAGUUCCUUGAACACAGUACUUGCCAACAAAAUGUCAAUAUUUUUUCUAGUUGUCUGAUCGAUUUUGUAUUCAGCAGUUUUACAAUAUGUGUUCAGUAUGACUCUUGCACAUAUCCCCUCAAAGGAAGUUUCACUCUUCUCCCUUAUCACUCCCACAUUUUUGAGACUAGGAUCACAUUUUAUAUUACGAUACUGAAGUAGGAGAGUCAAUUCCUGCAUAGGCUAGUUGACCUUAAAGAUAAAUGCCUAAUUAUUGAUUGGAUGAUUGAUUAAGCAAUUCUUUCAUUCAUUCAUUCAAUUCCCAACUCUAAAUUCAGAAUGGUCCCUUUACUACCUGAGGCCUUAUUAACAAGAUGGACCAGACGUUUCAUCACAUACAAAAGAUCUUUGUAGGCACGGGAAUAAAGAAUACUGAGUCAUUUUAAGAAGUCACUUUGAAAAUGACUUUUCAACAUAGAAGAACUGGGCUUGUUCAAGCAAAUUAUAUUUCAAAGUUUUAUUUGCAAGGUUAUUUAUUACUAUGUGGAAUCUCAGUCCUGUGGCUAGGGUCAAGGAAAAUGAGGACACAGGUGUCUGCCUAUUUGCACAGGCAUUAAAGAGUGUUGUAAAAUGAGCUUCGGCCUUUUAAGUUACUGUCUUUUCCUUUAUAAUAAUAAUCUCUUCAAUUUUACAAGGUCUAUAUUAUUUUUAGGUAAGAAAACACUGUAGAGUUCAUGUUUUAUUGUUCCUUGCAGUUAUAUAAAUUAUAUUUGGCCAAAACAAAUGUAAUUCCUACUGUGUGAACUGGGAACCCAAAAUGUUGAUUUUCCUCAAGUUAUAAACAAUGUGAAGAUACGUUAUACUGGGUCACAAUUUUCCAGAGCAGAGCAAAAUAUAUAACUCAGUUUUAAUAACAAAACUGCAUAUAUCAUUAAAGUUUCCUACUCCACACAGAAUGUAUUAUAUUACUCUGCCCAGCAAGAGACAUCCUUUGUGUAGACCACAAUUUCUAAAAUACCAUUUGAUUGAAUGGAAAACAUUUUAGCCAUUUGUUAGUUUAAAAAAAAAAAAUGUAAUGGUUAAAUACUCAUGGAAAUUCUGCUUUGUCUUUGCUGGGUAAAUAUUACAUUUCUUUUCACUAAAUUGAAUGCCUUGGAUUUUGUAAACACCAAGGUCUGGGGGACAACUCUUAUGAGCUUUUUCCCACUAUUAGAUGAGUCUUCACAUUUUUAGCAUCUUAGAAGCAGAUGUCUGCUUCUUUGUAACACCAAUGAACCUUAUUUUUACAUGUAUUAUAUCAGCUUCAAGUUGCAUUGUAAUUAUUUACUUAUAAGCUUGUCUCUCCAAAUAGACUUGUAACUUAACAAGGCAGGGUCCAGACUGCAUUAUCUCUGUAUUCUUGGCCCCUGGUCUAAUGCUUUCUACAGAGCUGGAGCACUGAAAAUGUUAAAUGAAGAAGAAAUUCUGAAAAAACUACGACCAAAUCAUCAGUUUACCCAUUCACCUGUUCUCAGACUCAUUCCAAAAUUUUGGAGAUUUAUAAAUGUAACAACUACUUUCACAACACUGAAGAAAAUGAGGAAAGAUUAUUUCCUUUAUUAAAAAGAAGUCAUAUGUGGGAUAAGCUAGUCUAGUCUCCUUAUUUCACAAAUGGGGAUUUGGGGACCUAGAAAAAGAAAGCUUUUUUGCUUUUGCUAAUGUCACAGAACUGGAGGCAAAACUGAUCCUAAUUGUGUUCAUAGUGUUUUGUUUGUUUGAUACAAAAGUAAUACAUGUUAAUGAUAAACACUUCGACAUGUUCAAAAAUACAUAAAGAGCCAACAAAUGUAUGAAAAGAUACUUAACAUCAAAAGUUGUUAGAGAAAUGCAAAUCAAGACCACAAUGAGAUACCACCUCACAUCUGUUAGGAUGAGAGACAAGAAAAGAACAAGUGUUGGCAAAGAUGCGGAGAAAUUUGAACCCUUGUGCAUUGUUGGUGGGACUGUGAAAUGGUACAACGGGUACGGAAAGCAGUAUUGUGGUUCCUUAAAAAAAUAUUAAAAAUAGAACUACCAUGUGAUCCAUCAAUCCCACUUCUGGGUGUAUAUAUCCAAAAGAAUUGAAAGCAGAGUCUUGAAGAGACACUUGAACACCCAUGUUCAUGAAAGCAUUAUUCACAGUAGCCAAUAAGCAGAAGCAACCCAAAUGUCUCUUGAUGGAUGGAUGGACAAAUAAAACGUGGUCUAUACGUACAAUGCAAUAAUAUUCAACCUUAUAAAGGAAGGAAAUCCUGUCAGAUACUCAACAUGGAUGGACCUUGAGGACAUUAUAUGAGUGAAAUAAGUCAGUCACAAAAAGACAAAUACUGUAUGAUUCCACUUAAAUGAGGUAUCUAAACUAGUCAAACAGAAAGUAGAAUGCUGGUUAUCAGAGGCUGGGAGGAGAGGGAAGUGAGUUGUUAAAUGGGUAGAGAGUUUCACUUUUGAAAAAUGAAUUCGUUCUGGUGAUCUGUUACAACAACAUAAAUAAUAUACUUAACAUUUUUGACCUGUUCAUGUAAAAAUGCUUAAGCUGAUG